UACGUAGGUGACCAGCGUUGUCCGGAUUUACUGGGCGUAAAGAGCGCGCAGGCGGUCGUUCAAGUCGAGUGUGAAAGCCCCCGGCUCAACUGGGGAGGGUCAUUCGAUACUGAUCGACUCGAAGGCAGAAGAGGGAAGCGGAAUUCACGGUGUAGCAGUGAAAUGCGUAGAUAUCGUGAGGAAGACCAGUGGCGAAGGCGGAUCUCUGGACAGUUCCUGACGCUGAGGCGCGAAGGCCAGGGGAGCAAACGGG
rnacentral:rRNA from 1 species